rnacentral:rRNA from 1 species
AGAGUUUGAUCCUGGCUCAGGAUGAACGCUAGCGGCAGGCCUAAUACAUGCAAGUCGAACGCUCAGUAGCAAUACUGGGAGUGGCGCACGGGUGCGUAACGCGUACACAAUCUACCUCUAAGCGGGGGACACCUCCUGGAAACGGGGAUUAAUACCGCAUAAUAUGCCGAGGUCGCAUGACUUUGGUAUUAAAGCAGCAAUGCACUUAGAGAUGAGUGUGCGUCCCAUUAGGUAGUUGGUGAGGUAACGGCUCACCAAGCCUAUGAUGGGUAGCCGGUCUGAGAGGAUGGUCGGCCACACGGGCACUGAGACACGGGCCCGACUCCUACGGGAGGCAGCAGUAAGGAAUAUUGGUCAAUGGUGGAAACACUGAACCAGCCAUGCCGCGUGGAGGAAUAAGGUCCUACGGAUUGUAAACUCCUUUUGACGAGGAAGAAAGUGUUAGAUUUAUCUAAUUUUGACGGUACUCGUAGAAUAAGCCCCGGCUAACUCCGUG